CUGCCCCGCAAGUUGCCGAGGUGGGGGCACAGGCGCCGACCGGCCGGGCGAGGAGGAGGUUCACCGCGACCCAUCGCCGGUCAGACCUGUAAGUGUUCAACUUACGUAUUUUGGACUCCUCUUUUUUUCCUUUUUUUUUUAACUUUUGUUCCUGUAGUGCGGCAUCGGAUGUCGACCCUGGCCAAACUGCUGGCCAGGGAACGGGCGAGCCUGCCCGCGGUUCUGGGGAUGCGGCCCCCCAGACCACAGAGCAGCCGACAGCUGCAGUCGCGCCUGGGAGCACGGAGGGGCUCCCGAGCGCGGCGCCUACUACAACAAGCAGCCUGACCAGGGCUGGGGAGGCUCCCCCAACUGACUCCUCGGAGAAGGGAAAGUCUCCGACCGCUCCUCCUGCCGGGGGGAGUGAAGUCCCCCCGCCGCCCCGAGCAGGAGCCUCUCCGGCUGCG
rnacentral:lncRNA from 1 species